rnacentral:rRNA from 1 species
AACUAUAUGAAUAUUUAUAUAGCUAUUUCUGCUCAAUGUUCCCAUAAAUAGCCGCAGUACUUUGACUGUGCAAAGGUAGCAUAAUCAAUUGACUUAUAAUUGAAGUCUGGAAUGAAAGAAUCUAUGGGGAAAUACUGUCUCAUUUUGGUGGUGGAAAAUUGUUUAUUAGGUGAAAAAACCUAUAAAUAAAAAAUAGACGAGAAGACCCUUGAAAUUUUAAUUAAAAAGUUAAUAAUAUCUUUUUGUUGGGGCGACAAAGUAGCAAUAAAAAACCUACUUAAAGAAUAUGUAUUAUUUAUAAAGGUUAAAUAAAUUACUCUAGGGAUAACAGCAUAAUAUUUUAAAGUUUGUGACCUCGAUGUUGGACUAGGAAAUUAUAGUUUAGAAGACUAUUAUAAAGGCUCUGUUCG